rnacentral:rRNA from 1 species
GACAGAGGUGCCGAGCGUUAGGCGGAAUCACUGGGCUUAAAGCGUGUGUAGGCGGACCGUUAAGUGUCUUGUGAAAUCCCCCGGCUCAACCGGGGAACGGCUGGGCAUACUGGCGGUCUUGAGAGGCCUAUGGGCGAGCGGAACAGGCGGUGGAGUGGUGAAAUGCGUAGAUAUCGCCUGGAACGCCGACGGUGAAAACAGCUCGCUGGGGGCCUUCUGACGCUGAGACACGAAAGCCAGGGGAGCGAACGGG